rnacentral:rRNA from 1 species
AGUCGAACGAAAUUAAUUCUGCUUGCAGAAUUAAUUUAGCGGCAAACGGGUGAGUAAUACAUGGGAAUCUACUUUGUAGUACGGAAUAACUUCGGAAACGAUAGCUAAUACCGUAUAUUGCUGAGAAGUGAAAGAUUUAUCGCUACAAAAGGAGCCCAUGCAAGAUUAGCUUGUUGGUGAGGUAACGGCUCACCAAGGCAACGAUCUUUAGCUGGUCUGAGAGGAUGAUCAGCCACACUGGAACUUAGACACGGUCCAGACUCCUACGGGAGGCAGCAGUGAAGAAUCCUGGACAAUGGGCGAAAGCCUGAUCCGGCGAUACCACGUGAAUGAUGAAGGCCUUAGGGUUGUAAAGUUCUUUUAGUGAAGAUGAAAAUGACAGUAUUCACAGAAAAAGUCCCGGCUAACUUCGUGCCAGCAGCCGCGGUGAU